CCCCCCCCCCCUACAAAAUCUAUCUCGAACCGCCUCGGAGUCAGCCUUCCAGACACGUAUACAGGCUCAAACGGUCCUCUCCGACCGCCCGUCACCCCAGGGGUACAAGAGCGCUGACCCCCAGGCGGAGCCAAGCACCUCCAGCAAAAGUGGAAACGUUUCGACGCGUCCCAAUUCGUUGUUAGCGCUGAAGGGGGAAUGCAAAACAUGCCCACCCUGUUCAAUAAUAUCGUGCCUUCAUGUUCUUCAUUCAAGUCAUUAAGAUGUUAAAAAGAAUUUUGAAAUACAUUCCUUCAGUAAUCCUCAAAAUACUUCUGGUGAAGGAAGAAGAUCACUGACCAUGCUGAUAACUUGAAUGGAACACUACCUUUGCCUAGAAAUUUAGACUUAUGAAGAUAGAUAAUAGGUUGUGAGAAAUUUAUCUAUAAAAAAUGCUCACCUAGAUCUUACAAGACCAAUUUUAAGUGUGUUCUGGUUUAUACUGUUAAUGACUGCCAUAAACCUGCUACCUUUACCCAUUUCCUCUUUACUUUAUGGAGGGAGAUGUGGACUACCAAAAUUUUUCUGAUAUUUUGAUUCUUCCUCUGUCCUCUUCUCACAAUUGAUUACUAAAUAUGCUUAAACAACAGCAAAAAAAAAAAAAUAUCCUUUAAUGGUCUACUGAAUUAUCCUUCAACUAAGUAAAAAUUUGUGACAAGUGUGUGUUACUGCUAAGUUGCACGCUUUUGCAGUGUCAUUAAGUUAACUAGUGUUUCACUUUCUGCAAUCCAAAGAGAAGCAGAAUCUCACAUAAUUCAUUUGCCAAAUUGAUGACUGUCGUAUACAGUUUGGCCACCAGGUGACACUACCCUUGGACCACCAACCCAGGGGUUUCCUCAAAGGACAAUAGUGAACUUUGUGGGUAUUCCCAACAGCUCUAGCAUCUCCAUGGUUACCAGAGAUACUUGCUUUUAAGAGCAUUGUGACUUUGUAUCUUGAGCACUUUUUAGCAGAUGAGACAGUUCUGCUUAUCCUGAUUCCCGACUGAUCUAGGAAAAUGAAAAUGGAACAUUGAUUUGAAUUAUUAGUUAUACAUAUUUAUAUUUCCACUUCCAUCUUCUAUCUGGAGAGUUUCUUUAAGCUCAACUAUAUAGAGUCAUUCAGAAAGAAUUGUUAAAGACCAAUGAUGGGCUCAACACAGGGCUAAAUUCUAGGGAUAUAAAGAAAGCAGAAAACAACCUCUGCCCUCACAGAUCAAAUAGUUGAAUGGGAGGGAAGCAUGCAAACAAUCAUGUUUAAACGAGUUAUAUACAGACUAAAUUAGAGAUCCUCAACAAAGGACAAAAAGGAGGAAAAAGAGAAUCUGGUGUGAGAGGCACACACAAAAAAUUUGGGAGAUCUUGAAUUUGGAAAGGAGGCAAGUCUGUCAGCAGAAUGAAAUAGCGAGGUCAGAGACCGGUGCUAUAGGAGCCAAGAGAAUUUGAUGCUACUGUUCUGGGGUUGAUACUAUCAGGAGAGAAGACAUCUGAUAACCUUAAGAAGAAAGUCUAGAGAAAAAAAAAUUCGAGUCUGGCCAGUUCUUGAGGCAGGCAGAGGUCACUGUACCCCUAUCAUAGGACUUAAUUUCUUUCUCUUCAUGAAAGUUUCAAUAUAUCUGCUUCUCUUUCCCUCCCUCCCCUCACAGCUCCUGAGCAACUUCCCUUGCUUUAGUGCUUCUAUUUUAAUUGUACAAAUAAAAGGAACAAGAUGCUU